rnacentral:rRNA from 1 species
UGGGGAAUUUUCCGCAAUGGGGGCAACCCUGACGGAGCAACGCCGCGUGGGGGAGGAAUGUCUGUGGAUUGUAAACCCCUUUUCUCUGGGAAGAAGGUCUGACGGUACCAGAGGAAUCAGCAUCGGCUAACUCCGUGCCAGCAGCCGCGGUAAGACGGAGGAUGCAAGCGUUAUCCGGAAUUAUUGGGCGUAAAGCGUCCGUAGGCGGCUGUUCAAGUCUGCUGUUAAAGGCCAGGGCUCAACUCUGGAUAGGCAGUGGAAACUGAGCAGCUAGAGAGCGGUAGGGGUAGAGGGAAUUCCCAGUGUAGCGGUGAAAUGCGUAGAUAUUGGGAAGAACACCAGUGGCGAAGGCGCUCUACUGGGCCGUUACUGACGCUGAUGGACGAAAGCUAGGGGAGCGAAUGGGAUUAGAUACCCCCGUAGUCC